rnacentral:rRNA from 1 species
UACGGAGGGUGCGAGCGUUGUCCGGAAUCACUGGGCGUAAAGGGCGCGUAGGUGGCGGAGCAAGUCAACGGUGAAAGCUCGACGCUCAACGUCGAGUCGGCCGUCGAGACUGCUUUGCUCGAGCACUGUAGAGGCAGAUGGAAUUCCAGGUGUAGCGGUGAAAUGCGUAGAUAUCUGGAGGAACACCGGUGGCGAAGGCGGCAUUCUGGACCAAUAUUGACGCUGAGGAGCGAAAGCCAGGGGAGCAAACGGG